rnacentral:rRNA from 1 species
AUUGAACGCUGGCGGCAGGCCUAACACAUGCAAGUCGAACGAGUGGCGGACGGGUGAGUAAUGUCUGGGAAACUGCCUGAUGGAGGGGGAUAACUACUGGAAACGGUAGCUAAUACCGCAUAGCAUCGUAUGUGCCCAGGUGGGAUUAGCUAGGAGGUGGGGUAACGGCUCACCUAGGCGACGAUCCCUAGCUGGUCUGAGAGGAUUGCCAGCCACACUGGAGUUGCGACACGGUCCGGACUCCUACGGGAGGCAGCAGUUGGGAAUAGUUCACAAUGGGCGCAAGCCUGAUGCAGCCAUGCCGCGUGUAUGAAGAAGGACUUCGGGUUGUAAAGUACUUUCAGCGGGGAGGCGUUACCCGCAGGAGAAGCACCGGCUAACUCCGUGCCAGCAGCCGCGGUAAUUC